rnacentral:rRNA from 1 species
GGAUUAGAUACCCUGGUAUCCACGCCGUAAACGAUGGUCACUAGCUGUUCGACUAACAUUGGUUAGUUGAGUGGCUAAGCGAAAGUGAUAAGUGACCCACCUGGGGACUACGAUCGCAAGAUUGAAACUCAAAGGAAUUGACGGGGACCCGCACAAGCGGUGGAACAUGUGGUUUAAUUCGAUGAUACGCGAAGAACCUUACCUGGGUUUGACAUGUUAGUGAAAGUUUUCUGAAAAGAAUUCCCUUUAAGAGCUUGCUCUUAAACACUAUCACAGGUGGUGCAUGGCUGUCGUCAGCUCGUGCUG